rnacentral:lncRNA from 1 species
CAAGGCACAGAUUACUCUUGAUCAGCAAGGUCCAAUUGGAAGAUGGAACACAGAGACUGGAAAGGCAGAACCAAACCGUGAUGAGCUGAAGCCUAGCGCCAGCAGUGCCCGUCCUGCAUUGAAGGGACCCAAGAGAGCAGCCCUCCUCUCCUCCUUGUUCCCGAAGCCUGAAGAACGCGUGUCACCUGCUAAUGGGACCCGGCAGGUGGAACUAGAUCACAGGUUGAAAUGAAGAUGUCAGACUGCAAAGCAGGGGACAGUAACCAGACCUGGUUUGGGAUAUGGGACUGCUUCCGUUUGUCUGCAACCGAUGACUACGAUUGUCUCGUGCUCUAGGAGGGGCGUGAAUCUUGCCAGCUGCAGAUAGUUUAAUUCUGGGGACUCUGGAGAAGGACUAAAUGUCAAAGUCUUGAGAGGGGUGGGAGGUGCUCCAAAAGGAGGAGAAGGAGGAGGAAGUGGUGGCGGAGGCUGCUGCUCCCUCAUGCUGCUCCUGGUUGCUGUUGUUGCGGUUUGAUGGGAAGAAGUUGGAAAUAGCCUAAAGAUAAAGACUGGACUGGCCCAAAGGAACUCUACACCCCUAACCAGCAGGAAGUGGCCUAUAGAAGUCUGUGGCCCCUUUUCCCUCUAGUCUCCUCUCUCUCCUGUCUAGUGUUGGGAGUUUGGAAGGGAGGUACAGAUGUAAGAACC